AGCGAACGCUGGCGGCAGGCCUAACACAUGCAAGUCGAACGAAGUCUUCGGACUUAGUGGCGGACGGGUGAGUAACACGUGGGAACGUACCUUUUGGUUCGGAACAACUCAGGGAAACUUGAGCUAAUACCGAAUGUGCCCUUCGGGGAAAGGAUUUAUCGCCAUUAGAGCGGCCCGCGUUAGAUUAGCUAGUUGGUGGG
rnacentral:rRNA from 1 species